rnacentral:rRNA from 1 species
AUUUAAGGUUUGAUCUGCCCACUGAUUUAUUAAAUGGCUGCGGUAAUUUGACUGUACAAAGGUAGCAUAAUCAUUAGUUUAUUAAUUGUAAGCUGGAAUGAAUGAUUUGACGAGAAAGAUUCUGUUUCUGAACUAUUAGGAUGAAUUUAAUUUGUUUUUGAGAAAGAAAAUAUGGAUAUGAAAGACGAGAAGACCCUGUAGAGUUUUAUUUAUGAUUGGGUUAGGCUUAUAUCAGGGAUUGUUAAUUUAGUUGGGGUAAUUUUGAUUUUUAAAUAAUUUUUUACAAUAUUAUUAAUAUAAGUUUGUUUGAUCUAAAGGUUAAUUAUUUGAUUAAAUUACCUCAGGGAUAACAGCAUAAUUAAAUUAAGGAGUUCUUAUCUAUAGUUUAGUUUGUGACCUCGAUGUUGAAUUAAGAAAA